GAUGAACGCUGGCGGCGUGCUUAACACAUGCAAGUCGAACGAAGCAAGAAGCGAAGCGCAAGCAGAGGUUCUUGACUGAGUGGCGGACGGGUGAGUAACGCGUGGAUAACCUGCCUUUCACAGGGGGAUAACAGCUGGAAACGGCUGCUAAUACCGCAUGAGCCUCUUUUGUCGCAUGACGGGAGAGGGAAAGAGAAAUCGGUGAGAGAUGGAUCCGCGUCCGAUUAGCUAGUUGGAGGGGUAAAAGCCCACCAAGGCGACGAUCGGUAGCCGACCUGAGAGGGUGGACGGCCACAUUGGGACUGAGACACGGCCCAA
rnacentral:rRNA from 1 species